GACGAACGCUGGCGGCGUGCCUAAUACAUGCAAGUAGAACGCUGAAGGAGGAGUUUGCUUCGCUGGAUGAGUUGCGAACGGGUGAGUAACGCGUAGGUAACCUGCCUGGUAGCGGGGGAUAACUAUUGGAAACGAUAGCUAAUACCGCAUAAUAGCAGUUGUUGCAUGACAACUGUUGGAAAGGUGCAAUUGCACUAAUACCAGAUGGACCUGCGUUGUAUGUGCUAGUUGGUGGGGUAACGGCUCACUCAGGCGACUAAACAGAGCCGAACGGUGAGGGGGGUCGGCCGAACUGGGAGUGGGACCCGGCCCAUAGUCCUACAGGAAGCAGCCAGAGGGAAUCUUCGGCAAUGGGCGGAAGACUGACCAAACACCGCCGCAGGAGUGAAGAAGGUUUUCGGAUCGUAAAGCUCUGUUGUAAGAGUAGAACGAGUGUGAGACUGGAACGUUCAGUCUGUGACGGUAUCUUACCAGAAAGGAACGGCUAACUACGUG
rnacentral:rRNA from 1 species